AAAGCAACUAAAUCUCAUGUCGUUAGAUUCUGUCAAAAUAAACAAUAGAAGACAAUACCCAGAGUGGGAAUUAAUCCUACAAUUCUAAAUGGGACUAACAGCAGAGGUACUGAAACCGAAACAGGAUUUCUUGAUUUUUAUUGGAGAUGGACAUGGAGAUGGAGAUGGAGAUGCAGGGGUGUGUUUGCAGAGAAGAGAAGAAACAGAUGAGAAUAAGACAAGAAAAAUCAUCUUCUUAACGGAGCUUCUCUUCUUGGGAAUUAAACUUGCGUUUUUCUUGUUGAAGCGUGGCUCUGUUAUGGUCUUGACAGCUUCCAUUCUAUGGCUGACUUCGCCAAAUUCUGACUCCGUCGGCUUUGUAUUGGGCAUGAGCAUUUCCAUGAAGUAAAAUUUUAAUCCUUUUUUGUGAUUUGCAGCAGCCAUUGGUUUCAGCUUCAUGCCUGGUUUAGUUGGAAAACAAAUUUU
rnacentral:misc_RNA from 1 species